UGCUGUCCAUGGGGUUGCAAAAAGUUAGACAUGACUGGGUGACUGAACAACAACAACAGCAAACAUAACAGAAUAAGGAGACACGUUUGGGAAGAUCCCCUGAAGUUAGAAAUGGGCAACCUUCUCCAUUAUUCUUCCCUGGGAAAUCCCAUGGACAGAGGAGGCUGCGGGCUACAGUCCAUGGGGUCCCAGUGAGUUGGACAUAACUAAGCACACAGCACAUGUCUUUGUGUGGAUUCAUCAGUCUCAUUUAUCUUUAGAUGUACAUAGUUGGAGAUAGUGAAUGACAGAGAAGCCUGUGUGUUGCGGUAGAUGAGUCACAAAAUGUCAGACAUGACUUAAUACUGAACAUCAGCAACAACAAAUGGUUGGAUCAUGAAUUUUUGUCCAUUCUGCCAAAAGUUAUGUUUCAAUUGGAG